rnacentral:rRNA from 1 species
UACGUAGGGGGCAAGCGUUGUCCGGAUUUAUUGGGCGUAAGAGCGUGUAGGCGGCCAUGUAGGUCCGUUGUGAAAACUCGAGGCUCAACCUCGAGACGCCGAUGGAAACCAUGUGGCUAGAGUCCGGAAGAGGAGAGUGGAAUUCCCGGUGUAGCGGUGAAAUGCGCAGAUAUCGGGAAGAACACCCGUGGCGAAGGCGGUUCUCUGGG